GGGGCUGGAAGAGCAGGGGUGCUGUCUGCUGGGCUCCCGCUGUCCCGGGGGCUUCCGCGGGAGCUGCCCCGAAGGGCUCUGGGCCGCGAUGGUGCUUCCCGCCUCCUCCCCCCGCAAGUGAGCUCACACAGCUCAUGAAGGCAUACACUGGCCACAGUGACAGAACCAGGAAAAGAUUCAACUACUGGCUGAGCAGUUUUUUCCAGAGGAUGAACCAAUCUAGACUGAAUUUCAUCUCUGUGUUCUUCAACCUUCACUUGAGAUGUCAUCAGCACAAUUUCCUGAAUAAAAUUAUUUCAGAACUGUUCAACAAUCUUUAAGCCACAGUAAGACAAGUCUUGUUACUUCUGUCAUCUUUAUAUGUCAUGUUCUGUUUUAAAUAUCUUCUAGC